rnacentral:rRNA from 1 species
CCUAAUACAUGCAAGUCGAACGAAUCUCUUUUAGAGAUGAGUGGCGAACGGGUGAGUAAUACAUAGGUAACCUGCCCCUGUGCGGGGGAUAACAGGAGGAAACUCCUGCUAAUACCGCAUAGCCAUGAGCACCGCAUGGAGCUCAUGCCAAAUAUCCUUUAUGGGAUAGCGCAGGGAUGGACCUAUGGCGCAUUAGCUGGUUGGCGGGGCAACGGCCCACCAAGGCAACGAUGCGUAGCCGGCCUGAGAGGGCGGACGGCCACAUUGGGACUGAGACACGGCCCAGACUCCUACGGGAGGCAGCAGUAGGGAAUUUUCGGCAAUGGGGGAAACCCUGACCGAGCAACGCCGCGUGAGCGAAGAAGGCCUUCGGGUCGUAAAGCUCUGUUGUAAAGGAAGAACGGCGCAUACAGGAAAUGGUAUGCGAGUGACGGUACUUUACCAGAAAGCCACGGCUAACUACGUGCCAGCAGCCGCGGUAAUACGUAGGUGGCGAGCGUUAUCCGGAAUCAUUGGGCGUAAAGAGGGAGCAGGCGGCCGCAAGGGUCUGUGGUGAAAGACCGAAGCUAAACUUCGGUAAGCCAUGGAAACCGGGCGGCUAGAGUGCGGAAGAGGAUCGUGGAAUUCCAUGUGUAGCGGUGAAAUGCGUAGAUAUAUGGAGGAACACCAGUGGCGAAGGCGACGGUCUGGGCCGCAACUGACGCUCAUUCCCGAAAGCGUGGGGAGCAAAUAGGAUUAGAUACCCUAGUAGUCCACGCCGUAAACGAUGGUCACUAAGUGUCGGGGGUCAAACCCCGGUGCUGCAGUCAACGCAAUAAGUGACCCGCCUGAGUAGUACGUUCGCAAGAAUGAAACUCAAAGGAAUUGACGG